rnacentral:rRNA from 1 species
CUACGAGUUUGAUCUUGGCUCAGAUUGAACGCUGCGGAAUGCUUUACACAUGCAAGUCGAACGGUAGAGGGGGGCAACCCUUGAGAGUGGCGAACGGGUGAGUAAUAUAUCGGAACGUGCCCAGUCGUGGGGGAUAACGUAGCGAAAGUUACGCUAAUACCGCAUACGAUCUAAGGAUGAAANCGGGGGAUCGCAAGACCUCGCGCGAUUGGAGCGGCCGAUAUCAGAUUAGGUAGUUGGUGAGGUAAAGGCUCACCAAGCCGACGAUCUGUAGCUGGUCUGAGAGGACGACCCAGCCACACUGGGACUGAGACACGGCCCCAGACUCCUACGGGAGGCAACAGUGGGGAAUUUUGGACAAUGGGCGCAAGCCUGAUCCAGCAAUGCCGCGUGCAGGAUGAAGGCCUUCGGGUUGUAAACUGCUUUUGUACGGAACGAAACGGCGAGCUCUAAUACAGUUUGCUAAUGACGGUACCGUAAGAAUAAGCACCGGCUAACUACGUG